AUGAAUGAAAAUAAACCUGGUGACUCACAGAACCUUGAACAAGGUCCAUUUUAACCCCUCUUGGACCAGUAAUCUGGACCAGGAACAUGGGCCACCCCAAGACCACUGCCCAGCUGGGCAGUGGGGAAUAGUAGGUGGCUUGUGUUUUCUGUCGAAAAAAGGAUGAGUGUCCUAAUAAAUAUGGAGAAAAGAAAACUAAGGAGAAAUGGAAUCUCACCGUACAUUAUUAUUCUUUGUUGAUGUCAAGUGGAAUUUGGCAGAGAGGUAAAGAAGGAGUUUGUGGUUUUCUAUUAGAAGAUACCAGGAAGGAAGUGAAUAGAGUUUCUAAACUGAAAUGCUGUCUUUGCAAGAAAAAUGGUGCUUCAGUUGGAUGUGUUGCACCCUAAUGUAAACGAAGUUAUUUCCCAUGUGGACUUCAGAGAGAAUGUAUUUUCCAGUUUACUGGCAAUUUCACAUCAUUUUGUUGGAACCAUCGACCUGUUCAAAUAAUUACAUCUAAUAAUUAUAGAGACUCCUUACCAUGCACCAUUUGCUCAGAAUUUAUUGAGCCUAUUCUAAGUUAUAACAUAUUACAAAGUGCUUGUUGUAAGAACGCUUGGUUUCAUAGAGACUGUUUACAGGUUCAAGCAAUAAAUGCAGGAGUGUUUUUCUUUAGGUGUACAAUAUGCAAUAAUAGUGACAUCUUUCAGAAAGAGAUGUUGAGAAUGGGAAUUCAUAUUCCUGAAAAAGAUGCAUCCUGAGAAUUAGAGGAAAAUGCUUAUCAAGAGCUUCUGCAGCACUAUGAGCAUUGUGAUGUUCAAAGAUGUCAUUGCAAAGAAGGGUGAGACUAUAAUGUACCUGAUAGCAAAUGGGAAAUAAAGCGCUGUCAGUGUUGUGGUUCCAGUGACACACACUUAGCCUGCUCUUCACUACGGUCAUGGGAACAAAAUUGGGAGUUUUUGGAAUGUAGGGGUAUUAUCUACAGUUCAGGAGUGUUCCAAAAAGCCAAAAACAUGUAUUAUCCAACUCUAAUAAUGUGGGGAUUACAGAUUGUUGGAAGAGUCAUCACCUAAAUUACCCAGACAGUCACCUGUAUUCCAGAGUAAAGAUCUACUGAGGAAAGGCAGCAAAUUUAGAAGGAAUGUAUCAACACUAUUAAUGAGUUAGGAUUCCAAAUUUAAAAAAAAACUACAAGAUUAUGUAUCAACAAAGCCAAUAUCUGGAAUCGUGCCUUAGAUGGAUUCAGAAAUCAAAACUUUAAUCCUUCAUAUGCAAUUGAAGUAGCAUACGUUAUUGAAAAUGAUAAUUUUGGAAGUGGACAUCCUGGAUCAAAGCAAGAAUUUCUGAGUGUCUUAAUGCAACAUCUUGAGAACUCAUCGUUGUUUGAAGGGUCCUUGUCAAAGAACUUAUCUCUAAAUUCUCAAGCUCUGAAAGGGAAUCUUUACUAUGAAGCUGGCAAAAUGCUUGCCAUUUAUUUAGUUCAUGGUGGUCCUUCACCUGGUUUCUUUUCUAAAACCUUGUUUAACUGCCUUGUUUAUGGACCAAAAAAUACCCAGCCAAUUUUAGAUGAUGUUUCAGACUUUGUUGUGGCACAGAUUAUAAUCAGGAUAAAUACUGCAACAACAAAACAAUCAGGACAAAUUACUGACUUAAAGUCAGUAAUAAAUGAAUGCUAUAACUACCCUGAGUUAAUUGGAUAUCUCAGAUUUAUAACGACAUUAAGUGAUAAAUAUAUGGUGGUAAAAGACAUACUUGUCUACCAUGUAAUUCAGAGUCUAAGCACCCUUUGAAAGUUUUAAGUAGGGUCUGAAAACCUGGUGUUUUGGAGAAAAUUCAGGCUUAACCAGAAGCAUUUUGUAGCAUCCUGUGUCGUAAACCUGAGAGUCUUUCUGCAAAAAUCCUUAGUGAUCUUUUUACAGUACACACAUUACCUGAUGUAAAAGCUUUGGGGUUUUGGAACAGUUACUCAUAGGCUGUUGAAGAUGGUAAAUCUACAACAACAAUGGAAGAUAUUAUUAUUUUUUGGUUGCAGUUCCAUUCCUCCAGCUGGAUUUAAACCCACUCCUUCAAUUGAGUGUUUGCAUGUGGAUUUUCCUGUUGGAAACAAGUGUGAUAACUGUUUAGCAAUUCCAAUCACCAAUACAUAUAAAGAGUUUCAAGAAAAUAUGGACUUUACCAUAAGAAACACUCUAAGACUAGAAAAGGAAGAAAGUUCUCAUUACAUUGGACAUUAAAAUGUUUCCUUGAACAAAGAGAAGCUUCUUUAAA
rnacentral:lncRNA from 1 species